UGGGUUGUAGCUCAGUGGUAGAGUGCUUGCCUGGCAUGUAUGAGGCACUGGGUUUAAUCCUCAGCAUCACAC
rnacentral:tRNA from 1 species